UUGGUGUGAUGAGUAAUCGCGUGAAAACGAGGAAAGUCCGAGCUGCUUUAAGACAGGGUUCCAUCUAACGGAUGGCUAGGGUAACCUAAGGGAUAGUGCAACAGAAAGCAAACUACUGCAAAUGCAGAAAAGGUGAAACGGUAGAGUAAGAGCCUACCAGCGUUUUUGGCAACAUUAACGGCUAUGUAAACCCAACUCGCAGCAAGAAGGGGCGGUUUAGUCUUAUAUAAAACCCUUCGCUUGAGCUAAAUUGCAAAAUUUAGCCUAGAUAAAUGAUUACUUGAAAAACAGAACUCGGCUUAUAGUUACACCAAAAUU
rnacentral:RNase_P_RNA from 1 species